rnacentral:tRNA from 1 species
GGCGGCGUUGGGCGGGGUUGUCCGUCUGUCGGCGACGGAUGGGUUCAGCGGGUUCAUCGCGGCGCCGGCGAUCGUCGCGCUGCGCGGUCA